UACGGAGGGUGCGAACGUUAAUCGGAAUUACUGGGCGUAAAGCGCACGUAGGUGGCGACGUAAGUCGGGUGUGAAAGCCCCGGGCUCAACCUGGGAAUUGCAUUCGAGACUGCAUUGCUGGAGUACGGAAGAGGAAGGCGGAAUUCCCGGUGUAGCGGUGGAAUGCGUAGAGAUCGGGAAGAACAUCAGUGGCGAAGGCGGCCUGCUGGGCUGUUGCUGACGCUGAGGCGCGACAGCGUGGGGAGCAAACAGG
rnacentral:rRNA from 1 species